AAAUUUCAUCAAAUCCCUUAUUUUUCGCACCAACAUUAUAGAUGGCCAUCAGAUUGAGAUUUCAACGAAUUCCUAUCUUACCAUUCCUCAUAUUUACUUGCAAUUUUUUUUUUGUUUCACAUCUGCUCUUCGACGAAUUAUUACGCCAUGGAUCGCAGGGAUGCGGGAUUAGGUAUAAUCCUCUCUCUUCAGGCUUGAGAUCCUUGAGCCAUGAUUAAGGUGACAUCAAGCUAGGCGGAGACGAUGACGACAUCGUCGGAAACAUUUGCAGCGGAGAUGAGGUUUGGUUGUUGGUUAGGAGAUUUGAUGAGCCACAGCAGUACAAGCCCUUUGUAGCCGGUGCAUAGUGCAAGGUGAUCUGAAGAUUGGGAGUGUUAAGAGAGAUGAAUGUGAAGUGCAUAUUUGUUAUUUAGAAUUUGCGUUGCACUUAUUAAUGUAAUUUAGUGAACACUGUACUUUUUUUUAUGAAUAAAUACUAAAAGAAUGUGAUGAAUAUGAAAAGAAAAUUGGUAGAUC